GCUGUCGGGCAGUAUUGGCGAGUGUGGCGAGCGAAAUUGUGUUGAAAGCUUGUCUGUGAAACAUGGCAGCGGUGAUCUCGGAGUUUCGCUCGCGUGACGGUCGCCCGUGAUUUUUUUAACGCCGAUGAAAUGACAAUAUGAACGGUAGGCCAGCCCCGCUGAGGAGGUCGGGCCCGAUACCGCGACAACAGGGAGCAAAGACGCAGCGGAGAUCGCCACGAACAAGUUUAUCGCAGAUCAUGACAAUUUAAUGAAAAGCAAGAAUAAUGGAUGGCACACGAGCAGCAGAAGUAUUGCCGUUGCUGCAGGAACGUCUGGCGAUACUGCCGGGCGGACGAGAUCGCAGAGGUGGACCUGUACUUCUGUUUCCCAGCACGCCGAGACGCGAGCGUGCGAAACCCGAGGAUUACAGACGCCUCCUGCAAUAUCUGUUCGCUAUCCCAAGCGAUGAGGCCAGAGGACUGCGAUUUACUGUAAUUGUAGAUAUGCGCGGUACUACAUGGGAUUCUGUAAAACCUAUUUUGAAGGUGUUACACGAGCAUUUUCAUCGCACAGUUCAUGUCGCUUUUCUUAUCAAACCAGAGAACUUUUGGCAGAAACAAAGGACUUCAUUAGGCAAACAGAAAAAAUAUAAUUUUGAGAUUAAUACAAUAAGCUUAGAAGCUCUCGUAAAAGUUAUAGAUCCUUCUCAACUCACUGCAGAUUUAGAUGGAUCCUUACAAUACGAUCAUGCUCAGUGGAUUGAUACUAGAUUAGUUGUAGAAGACUUUACAUGGCAGGCAGCUGACCUACUCGACCGCUUGGACGACUUGCAAGAGGAUCUUAGUAGAAACGAUUUUGCUGACGAUGUUGCGGGAGCUAAGCACGGCAUCGAUUUGCACAAUGAGAUGAAGAAGAAAAUCAUGAAAGUGCCAGUGGAGGAUAUCGAAGUUGUUGGACAACGCCUACUUCAGCGGUUUAAUAACAGUGCAACAGCGACGGGCGGAGAAGGCGGAAGUAUUGACAAUGGCGCGGCAAGUUGCGCGGAUUCCGAUGGACGAGCACUGGCCACUAUGGUUAUUCAGCAUUUGGAUUCUGUGCAUGCCGCGCAGCAGCAUCUCUUACAAUUGUGGCACAUCAAAAAGAUGAAGCUGGACCAGUGCUUUCAGCUGCGAUUGUUUGAGCAGGACUGUGAGAAGAUGUUCGAUUGGAUUUGUCACAACCGGGAAGCGUUUCUCGCCAGCUAUGUGGAGAUUGGUCGCUCGUAUCAGCUGGCUAAGAAUCUGCAAGAGGAACAUAAACAUUUCACAAUGAGUUCGAUGAACGUUUACGUGAAUAUCAACAAGAUCCUCACGAUGGCCGGCAGAUUGCUGGAGACGCAGCACUAUGCGGCCGGACACGUGCGAGCGGUGGCGGGUCGUCUGGAUCGCGCCUGGAAGGAAUUCGCCGCGGGUCUCGACGAACGUACCGCAGUACUUAGUUUAAGUGUAGUGUUUCACCACAAAGCGGAACAGUACGUCGACAACGUGCCUGGCUGGAGUCAAGCGUGCGAAAUUAGCAAUCUGCCCAGUGAAAUCCCAGUGCUCGAGUCUCACAUUCGUCAACAUCAGACUCUUUAUGAAGCGAUGUGUCAGGCAUACACAGAGGUUUACAAUGCAUAUCAAGCAUUAUUGAGCGGCCUGGGUUCAAUGCUGCAAGUAUGUCAUAAUGUGAACGCCCAUUCUACAGGGUCGGAUACUUUUCGCGUCGAUUACGUGCAUAGUACGAGUAAGAAGCUUCUUUAUCAACUGGAUCAUCUUGUGCAAGUCUGUAAUCAACCGCAAGGAAUUGACCAUGUCGCCAGAAAACAUAGUCAAGAUGGACACAGUAUCGAUAGCCAUACCGGCACGAGCGGCAAUCCAGCUGCUGAUUACAGCGAAGGCGCAUCCCACGUAUUAGCUGUCAUUCAUCAGAUUCUCGGUCAUCACAGAGCAUUAGAGGCCCGCUGGCACGCCCGCAAAGUCAAGCUGCAUCAACGGCUUGCAUUAAAAUUAUUUCAAGAAGAUGUGAAGCAAGUUCUCGAUUGGCUGACGAAUCACGGCGAAGUCUUUAUCAGGAAAAACACAGGCGUAGGUCGCAACCUGCAGAAGGCACGCGUUUAUCAAAAAAGCCAUGAACACUUUGAAAACGUAGCUCAGAAUACUUACACAAAUGCUACGAAACUUCUGACCGCUGCCGAAGAGCUUGCUCACACGGGAGAAUGCGCGCCCGACGAAAUAUACGCAGUGGCGCAAGAAUUGGAGGCGCACGUUAGCAGUUUUGCGGCGAGAGUCGAGCAGCGGCGUCGUAGAUUAGAUCUGGCAGUAGUAUUUUACACUCACGAGAAGGAGCUUACCGGGUGGGUGGACGAGUUGCGUCAAGAGCUGCAACAGGAUGAAGUAGCGGAGAAUUUAGAGACUGCGGAGAGACUGUUAGAGCAGUGCGCGCAGCACAGAUCGUCCUGUCUCGAGGCGUGCGCUUCGACGAUAGCGCAGGGCGAGGCCCUGCUGCAGGAGCUUCGCGAGGCGACCGACGCGCCCGACACAACCGGCUCGAUAUCGGCGGUGGAAUCGGCACUGGAUAGAUUGUCGAAUUUGAGACAGGAACUGGAGGAUCUGUGGACCACGAAGAAACUGAGAUUGGAACUAUGCCUGCGGUUGCGCGUCUUCGAACGCGACGCGCUGGAGGCGAGCGGUCAGUUGGAGAUGUGGGCGCAAGAAUUGCAGGGUCCGCCGCGCGAGGGUUCGCCCGAGCAGUUGCUGCGCGUGCACAACGACGGAGUCGCUCACAUGCAGAACACCGCCUUUCAAAUCUUGCACCGCGGCCAAGAAUUGGCACAGGUCUUGGAGGAGGCGGGGGUCUGCAUCAUGGCGGACGGUCAGCAUAGCGCCGCGGCGCGCGUGCAAGUGCUCCUCGAGUUUCUGAACGAGAGAGAAUUGGACGCGGAGGAUCUCGCAGAGAUGCGACGGGUGCGACUGGAGCAGGCCGCACAGCUGCUACAAUUGCAGACGGACGCCUCUCACGUGAUCAAGUGGAUACGGAACGGCGAGUCGAUACUGCUGGCUUCGUUGAGGAUACCGGACGACUUCGAGGACGCCGAUCAGCUGGGGAAGGAGCACGAUCAAUUCCAAAUCGCGAUCACGAACACUCACGCCUCCGCGGUGCAGGUGAAACACAAAGCGGAUUCUCUGAUAAGCGGCAAUCACUACGACCCGAAGAGCAUCAGGGAGGUCGCGGAGGAUGUUACCAAACGGUGGCAGCAGUUAGUGACUUGUGCGGAAGAGCGACACAAAUUGAUCACCGCCAGCUUGAACUUUUACAAAACGGUGGACUCGGUGCGCUCGGUGCUCGACAGCUUGGAGCUGCAGUACAACGUGGACGACGACUGGUGCGCCGACGGAGAAAAGGCCGGAUCCAUACCGGCGUCCAUUACGAGGCAUCAGGAGCAAAAGGAGGCUUUUCUGAAGGCGUGUACGCUCGUGCGGCGAACCGGCGAGACGUUCUUGAAGUACAUCAAUCGUAGCCUGCAGUUUUAUAGCUAUCACGCCAACAGCGCCGGAUCCGCGAACAAGGUGAAAAAUAUUUUGGAAGAGUUGGUCGGUAAGGAGAACAAGGUGCUGGAGUACUGGACGCAACGAAAGAAGCGCUUGGAUCAGUGUCAUCAGUACGUUCUAUUCGAACGCAGCGCGAAACAGGCCCUCGAAUGGAUCAGGGAAACCGGAGAAUUGUAUCUAGCGACGCACAUCAACGUCGGUAAGAAUCGCAUCGAGAACGAGCAGCUGCUGCAGGAGCACAACGAGUUCAAGGGCGCGGCGAAGGAAACGAGAGAGCGGGUGAAGCUGUUGAUUCAGCUCGCCGACAAUCUGGUCGAAAGAGGCCACGCUCACGCCGCGGCGAUCAAGCAGGCGGUCGCCGAAGUCGAUCAACGAUACAAGGACUUUAGCGCGCGAAUGGAUUGCUACAAGACGCAGAUCGAGGGCGAUCUCGGCAUCCAACCCGACGAGGUGCACAGAGAUCUCUCCAUCGAUCGCAACUCGGAUCCGCUGCUGGAGGAGAAAAUCAAAGGUAAAGAUCUGAAGGAGCUGAACGAGGAGAAGAGACGGUCCGCGCGACGGAAAGAGUUCAUUAUGGCUGAGCUCUUGCAAACCGAGCGUACGUAUGUGAAAGAUCUGGAGACUUGUAUACGUUGCUUCCUGGAGGAGACGCGAAGUGGCAAGGGAAAUAUUCCGCCGGGUUUGCACAGUCGGGAAUCGGUCAUUUUUAGCAAUAUAGAAGAGAUACAUCAGUUUCACAGUAACGUGUUUCUACGCGAGCUGGAGAAGUACGAAACCAUGCCGGAAGACGUGGGACAUUGUUUUGUAGUAUGGGCACCCAAAUUUGAUAUGUAUGUAACUUACUGUAAAAAUAAACCCGAGAGCAAUCAGCUGUUAGUAAUGCACGGCGGAAUGUGGUUUGAGGAAUUGCAGAGGAAGCAUAGAGUAGAACAUCCUAUCGCUGCAUAUUUGAUCAAACCUGUACAGAGAAUUACUAAAUAUCAGCUGCUACUUAAGGACUUACAGGCUUGUUGCCAAGAGGGACAGGGCGAAAUAAAAGAAGGAUUAGAAGUGAUGUUAAAUGUGCCUAAAAAAGCUAACGAUGCCUUACAUUUAAGUCUACUGGAAGGUUGCGACGUUAGUAUAGAUGCGCUCGGUGACGUUGUAUUGCAGGAUUCGUUCACGGUAUGGGACCCAAAACAAUUGAUCAGGAAGGGAAGAGAUCGUCACAUAUUUCUUUUCGAAUUGUAUCUCCUUUUUACCAAGGAAGUGAAAGACUCCGCUGGAAAGGUGAAAUAUGUCUACAAAAAUCGCCUGCUGACCUCCGAGCUGGGUGUGACCGAGCAUAUCGAAGGCGAUGAGUGCAAGUUUGCGGUGUGGACGGGACGAGCGCCGACCAGCGACACCCGCGUGGUACUGCGGGCAAAUUCGAUGGACGCGAAGCAGCUGUGGGUGAUGAGAUUACGCGAAGUGAUACAGGAGACCUUCUUGGGCAAAAAUAUGCCGAAGAGCCCGGCGAAAAAGAGCUCCAGUCAACGCUCCAGCAGAGAUCUGGAAGAGUGCGCGUCAUUGGACGAAAGUGUGGAGAAUCUCGAUAGAAAUUCAUUGGCUUCCUUCGGCUCGACCAAUACCACGGACUCUGAUAAGACCGGAGUGGUCGAGAUGACGUGGGUGGUGGCCGAUCACAUGGCGGCACCGGGCUCGAGGGAGCUGAGCGUGACGAAGGGACAGCAGGUCGAGGUGCUGGAGAACGGCAGCACGAAUACCGGCGCCACCGGGGUCCCCAGCACCGGCGAGUGGACCCUGGUGCGUCUGCCGCUCACGCCCGGACAAGCCGAGCCACCCGCGGAGGGUCUGGUGCCCACGAGCGCUCUCAAGCAACCGCCGACCGCCUCCUGCAAAACUUCGCCGUCCAGAAAAGCGUCCACGCAGCAGCAGCAACAGCAAUCGCACCAGCAUCACCAUCAUCAGCAGCAGUCGCAUCAUCAUCCGUAUCAUCCGCAGCAGCAGAUCAGUCCGGCGAUCGUCCAGGCGCAGACCUCGGUCGCGCCGUCGACCGCCGCCGGCACGUUGCCGCCGAUGGCGGCCGGCGUCGCGCCGGCCGCGCAACAGACGGCUUCGUUGACCGCCCUGUCGUCCACCGUGCUGUCGCCGAUGUUAUCGGAGGACGCAGAAACCGCCGGAAGCGACGGCAGUGGGUCGACCAGUACAAAUUCACCCGGCAACAAGAGGCGAGGUUUCAGCGGACGGAAGUGGCUCCCACCGCCUUUACGUAAACUUAGCCAAGGUAAAGUCGAGAAAACCAAUACGGCCGUGUCGACGUCAUCGACUCCUUUGAUUGGACCGUCUUUGAAGAAAAGCAGCUCAGACAAACGCUUUAAAUUACCGAGCGGCGUCGAGCACAAUCGGCCUGGCAAGACGUUCGAGGCGGAGGCCGAGGCUCAAGAGGGCGAGGAGAUAAGUAAGGAGGAGGAGGAGGAGCAGCAGGAGGUCGAGGUGGACGUGGACGUAGACGCGGACGUCACGGAGAGCGACGACACGGCGGUGACGAGUCUGCAGGAGCAGAACGGCGGCGAGGACGCCGAUGACGAUCUGGAACUCCCACCGCCGAUGAAACCGAUAACCGAACCGAUACUCGUGACGACCGCGAAUGGUCCAUCGGGAUCCACGAUACCGAGUGAAUUGCCUGGGAAGCGGUCCGCCGAACGUUCGACAAAGAUUCUCGAGAGCGGCGCCACGACGGCCGAUCUCUCGGAGAUCGAGCAGAUUGUGAAGGAGAGAAUGGAGCAACAUACAGAAAAUCAGGAAAGGCACAGUCUCAUGCGCACUCCUAACGGAAAGUCGUUGAACAACGAGGAAGAGUAUUGCAACGUGACGACUAAUACGGCCGAGGAGGCAGAUCCGGAGAGCACCGCGAUCGCCAAGCGGCAGUUUGUUAUACGCGAGCUGGUGGAAACCGAGAGAGACUACGUCAAUGACUUAAAGCAGAUAGUCGAAGGUUACAUGGCACUAAUGCGAAAUCCCGAUUGCGAGAUUCCGUUGCCGGAAGAUUUGCGCGGUGGGAAAGACAAGAUGGUUUUCGGUAAUUUAGAAGCUAUCUACGAAUGGCACAGAGACUUUUUCCUCAAAGCUUUGGAACGUUGCUUGGAACGUCCCGAAGAACUCGGACCACUCUUCAAGCGCUACGAGCGAAAGUUGCAUAUGUACGUGGUUUAUUGUCAGAAUAAGCCCGUUUCGGAAUACAUUGUGUCCGAAUAUAUGGACACUUACUUCGAGGAACUUCGGCAAAAACUUGGUCAUCGUCUGCAACUCUGCGACUUGUUGAUCAAGCCCGUACAAAGGAUUACAAAAUAUCAACUUCUUCUACGGGAGGCAUUGCGCCUCACUGAACGAACUCAAAGGUUAUCGGAAAUCGAAGGCCUCAGAGCGGCGGCUCAUGUCAUGCGAGUUAUUCCUAAAGCUGCGAACGAUAUGAUGGACGUUGGGAGAUUACAAGGUUUUGACGGUAAAAUAACGGCGCAAGGGAAACUCUUGCUGCACGGCCCGCUUUUGGUAUCGGAAAUAUCGAACGUGUCGCCGAGAGGAAGAGAAUGGCAAGUCUUUCUUUUCGAGCAAAAUAUUAUCUUUAGCGAAGCUGUCGGCAAGAAAACGCAAUUCACCAAUCCUGCCUACAUAUAUAAAGCACACAUUCAGGUAAACAAAAUGAGUCUUGAAGAUUCGAACGACGAUCCUGAGAAAUUUGUCAUUCGGUCAACGGAUCCUCGAAAGCCCGGGCUAGGAUUCUCUUGUAGUGUAGCCGAAGAAAGUAGUGGACCGCGCAGGCAGGAGUGGGUGGACACGAUCACUGCCAUCCUGCAAACUCAGCGCGACUUCCUGAAGGCGAUACAGUCACCGAUUGCCUACCAGAAGGAACUUACCAAAGAUCCACUCCGUGCCACCACGUCUGAACCAGUGACUCGAGCAACCAUGUCGGUUCCUCCGACGCUGACAGUCCCCGGAUCGGCGAAGGGUAGGAGUCAACCGUUGCAACGCUCGCAGACCGGAGGAUUGGAUUGCACGCAGCCACGCACGCCCAGCCCGACGAAGAGUAGGCUGCACUUCCUGGAGGGAUUUAAGAAUACUCUACGGACGCGCUCGCCGGUCCGCAACAACUCCAUCCCGGUCGUUCCAGGUGCUCGCGUGAGAUUAGCCGCGGAUUGGGGAAAGUUGCACGCCGGGGACGAGCUCGUCGUCUCCCAUCUGGACGGUCCGGGCUUAGUGGUAUCACCGGUGAAUACCAAGGACGAAAUGUGGAUCCCGGCGAGUCUUAUCCCGAACUCGGCGAUUAGCCGGGCGUGGUCAUUUCGGCCGCGGAAGAUCGAUCUCACGACGAGCCACGCUGCUGAUUAUCACGAGUCGACGAAACCCGAGGAGAAAGCACUGGCUGUCCUAAGCAGCCCGGCGUCGAUUCGUGCGACCACCGGCGAAGUCGUUAGACUUUCCGUCAAGACGCACAACGCGGCCGGCGCAAUUGUUACCUGGAGAAAGGAAGGCGAGGAUCAGUGUAUACGAGAGAGCGAUCGGUACCAGUUCCAGCAGAGCGCGGGCUUCGUGUACCUGCAAAUCACCAACUGCCGACCGUCGGAUUCUGGAUUCUACCAUUGUCACGUGAAAUGCGACACAGGCUCUUGCUCUGCGAGAAUUUCUCUUUCCGUCACAGGCGGGAAGAGCAGCAUUUCGGCGCGCGUUGUAGGAUCCUCGAGGGUGGAGAUCGAUUGGGACAAACGAGAGAUCGGUGGUGCGUCAUGCAGCAUAGAAUGCAGAACUUUUCCGUCGUCGCAAUGGACGUUGAUGCUGACGCAGAUUAACGAGCCGCCUACUGUGCUGGAUGUAUCGCCGGACGCAUCGUACAGUUUUCGAGUGAUUGGCGACGACGGAAGGAUGACCUCACCGUCAAUCGUGGUGACGCUGUCGCGAUCGGACGCGGACGGUGGCGCGGAAUGGGAGGCCAAGCAAUUCGUCGGCAGGUACCUGGAGUUGGACGAGCUCGGUAACGGCAGAUUCGGCACGGUCCGUCGCGCCAGGGACAAAGGUACCGGUCAGGAAGUGGCGCUCAAACAAAUCCCGCGGCACAAACAGUCCAGAUCGCUGACGCGCGCAGAGUACGACGUACUGGCCUCCACUCAUCACGCCAACAUCGUCCGAGCGUUCGCCCUGUUCGAGAACGCGCCUCGACCCGGCGUGGACACCAUCGUCCUGGAACUGGUUAAAGGUCCGACGUUGUUCACGUAUCUGAGCGAGAAGACAGAGUACACUGAAGCGACAGCAACGCGGUACACCGGUCAAUUAUUGUCCGCGCUAAGCUGGCUGCAUUGCCGUAAUCAAGCACAUCUAGAUGUGAAACCGGAGAACGUUCUCGUCGAUCAGGAUGUGAAUCAGGUGAAGCUGAUAGAUCUGGGAGAAGCGGUAAGGGCUCCCGUGGAGGAGAUCGUGCCGCCUCCCGCCGAUCUAGAAUUUGCGGCACCGGAAUCAGUGUUAGGUAGACCGACCGGUUCUUGUACGGAUAUGUGGGCCGUAGGAGUUUUUAUUUAUGUUUUAUUAAGUGGAUUGUCACCUUUUUUGGACGACUCUGUGGAGGAAACGACCGCCAACAUACUCAAAUGUGAUUUCUGUUUUCCCGAUGAAUACUUCGAGACGAUAUCUAGCGAUGCGAAAGAACUUCUCGGGAGAUUAUUGUGUCUGCGUGGUGAGGAUCGACUGAGCGCGGAGAUCUGUCUUGGAUCGCCGUGGUUAAAGAUAUCUAUCGGCGCUACCAUACCGUCCACUAGAAUGGCCGCAUUUAUAGAACGACGUGCGCACUGUCUCAAACUGCGUCAAGACCAUGACAGUUUUUAUUCUUUAGACUAACAAUAUGCAGUAAGCAUGUUACUUAAAGUACACACAUGACAACUUUAUAUAUGUAUAUAGGAAAAUAUACUUAAUGUCUAACUGUCGAUAUACUUUUUUAAAUU